ACAAUUUUUGCUUCAUUCAUAUUGCAAUUGCUACUCUGGUUCUGAGCAGUUCCAUCUCUCAAGACCAAGGACCUAUCACAUAAAUGGUUGAGAAUCUUUAGACAAUAUGCAAAACCCAGCAUCCCAUUUCUAUGCUUUCUCUUAAAAAAAAUACGUCAAAAUCUUGCAGUAUUUCACUGCAUGUGCCCACAAUAAUUUUGACCAGUUUAGAGAUGCAUGUAUAUUUUUGAGGACUUAAUUUCCAGUCAGUUCAUUUUUGCUGCCCUUUUAUGAACCAUUGCAAUAUACAGUAUCUGAUUCCUUGCCACUAAGUAUUUAAAAUGAAAUGAAAAAUCAUAGAGAACUUUGAAAGUUCAUUAGUGUCCAAAAUUCUGUUCGUUACUAUUGACUUUUGAAAUCUCCAUUGUACAUCACUUACAGAAGCCAGUUCUGUCGUGGCAGAUGAGCUGUUACUUGAUCCUUGAUGCUUCAAGAAUAAUAAAAAGGCUAACAAGUUGGAAAUUCAUUUGAACUGGGGUCUUCCCAUUUUUUAGUAGUACAGAAAGACUGCUUUACAUAGCGGUAACCCCAUGUUUAUUUGCCUUGAUGAACCCAAAAGGUGCUGAGUACCUGAUCCUGAACUCUGAAGUUCCUUGAAGGCGAUUACUUUUAGUUUGGGACAAAAACCAAAAUAUUUUCCCCCUCCGCUUGCUGGAUUGUGUCUGCUAAUGCUUCUGUUGGAUGCUUGGCAGAAAUGCAGAGGUGGCCUAACCUCCAACUCACCAAAUUCUGAUUUCAACUGAAUGAUGAAAUACUGACUAGAAAGUAACUCCAUCAACUGCAUGCACUCUUAAGUGGAACCAUUAGCCCUAAGUGAUGUUCUGGCCAGGUGGGUUGGAGGAGGCGUCCCAUGUUUUUAGAUUGGCUAGCUCAGGGUGAUUUUCUCCUCCUGUCCCAACAGAACACGCUAUGAUUCUCCCCCUACCCCUUCAGUUUUUCAGCCUGGUGUUUUCUCUUUGGACAGUUCUUUCAACCAAAUUAACUUAAAUAUAAAAUCAACCCUUGCACUAAA